rnacentral:lncRNA from 1 species
CAAGAAUAGCUCAAUAGAUCUGGAAUACAAAGUAUAUUAGUUAUAACUGACCAACUGGCGAGAAGUCUAGAGUCACUUGCUGCACUUUAAUUUUAUGGAUAAUGACAAAAAGAGUCCAUGUAUGUUUAAGAAUGUUGUUUAAAUGAAAUGUAAUUUACAACAUUGGAAUAUACCAUUUAUAUUAAUGGUUAUAUUAAUUAAUAUACCAUUUAAUAUUAAUGCUACCUCAGAGAUCUGAAAAGAGACAUAUAAUUUUGUUAAACACCUCAUAAAACUUUCAAACAGCAGUGAAAAUUUGAAAAAAAACAAUUUGAAAAUAUUCUGAAAAGCCACAGUUUAAGAAAAAAAAAACAAAAACAAAAAAAAGUUAUAAAAAUAAUUUCUAAAGUUUCAAAUAUAAUAAAUACAUUUGUUAUUAUAAUAAAUAUAAUUUUUUUACCUGAUGACAAGAAGGUAAAUUGCUAGGUCCUCUCUUCAUUGAAAAACUCAGUCUGCCAAUCAAUUCCAAGAAUGACUUUUCCCCAGUCACUACCACCUGCCCACUUCUCCUUAGUAGACUUUUCAAUCCACAUCAGCUGAUAUCAACACAGUUUAACCUUCAACUGCAUCUCAAAGGAGAAGAGACAGCUGAAACAGAAAAGAAGGGUGAAUUUAGCCUAUCUGCAUCUGGUCAUUUGGAAAGAAUUUUUUUCAGUGUUCAGAAGAGCUGUCCUGUCCAGACAAUUGUGCACACAACAGGCAAGCAGAUAAAAACCAAAGUGAUGGCAACAUCCAAAACUUACAUCAACAAAGUAGCAGGUAAUGAUUUCUUUCAUCACAAGGCUAUUUUGUACUUUAAAAUAUCUUCUAAUUAUUCAUAUGUACUUUUCCAGACUUUAAUUUGAUCACACUGCUCAUUUCGUUCAACUGGGUACAUCAAAUUAUUUGGUGUUCAUGUCUCUCUGUUAUGAAGGAGUUUAUACACAAUGUUGUGCAUGUGCAGAAAUAUAAUUUUCCUAUAUUUCUAAUUCUUGUUAUUUUAAAAACCUUUCCUCCUCAGUCAGGAGAUCUUUCAGGGUCAUUCAACACAACAUUUUACACCUAAUGUA